GAAAGUGGACUUCUAGAACUGCUUCAUGAAGUAGCAAAAAUAAUGGAAUAAAUGUUUUUUGAAGCAAGGGGAGUUAUUUUGAGGGGGAUUAAUGCCAAUGUGUCUUACUGUAAUAAUUUAAAAAUGUUUAUUUAAAUAGUCACUGUAUUUUUUUUUUGGUACUGGGGAUCGAACUCUGAUCCUUCUGCUUGCAAGGCAGGCGGCAGAACCACUGAGCUAAAUCCCCAGCCCCUUGUCACUGUAUAUUUUAUCAUAACUCAUCUGACAUUGAAUAACAAACAACAAAAUACUUUGAUGUCUGAUAGGAGGGAAAUAAGUGAAGCAAAUGCCUAUGAUUGUUUCUGCUUACUGCCAAGUAGGAGUUUUCAAAAAGCAGAACAGCUAGGAAGUACUUAAAUAAAACUUCUUGGUCUCACUGAGUUGAAGAGAGAAAACUCAAAAUUUGAGGAGGUCAAGCUCAUAAGAAUCUGUGAGUUAGAAUGCCUGAAGGAAGGAAUCCUAAUAAAGAGAAAUCCCUAGAGAUAUGUGAAAGGGCUCCUACAGUCUUUGGCUAAAUACAGUAGAGAUGAAUGCAUGGAAACUACUCAAGGCUGAACUGAGAAGCACAGAAAAGCAGUAGGUCAAAUUUGAGGGGAAGUAUUCUAGGUAAGACUAGGGAAAGUUUGUAUUCCUGCCAACCACACUGAAAAGUCUUUGUAAUACACAAGUAAUACACAGGAAUUUAGGAAGACAUUGUGUUAACACACAAAACACCAGAAAGAUACCAUAUUAGUUAUGACUCUAAAUUAUGGCUAGACUAUUAUAUUAAUUGUGUGUCUAAAUUAUCCCUAGGCUCAGUAUAUAUAAAAGUUUGAAAUUGAUCAAAAUGAGUACAAGUAACUUGAUUUUAAGCUAUGAACAUAUCCAACAUACUGCAGAAAUUAUAUUUUAAAAUCCUAUACCCAACAGGAUUAAAAAUUAUCAUGUCUGGCGUCCAGCCAAAAAUUACUAUGCACACAAAGAAACAGGCAAAUGUGUCCCAUAAGUAGGAUAAAAUUCAACCAAUAGAAACAAACCAAGAAAUGACAGAAGCUAUCAUUAUCAAACAAGAGAAUAAAAGAAUUACUAGAAGCAUUCUCCAUAUGUUCAUGAAAGUAAUGAAAGAUGUGAAAUAAACAUAAGGAAGCCAGAAAUGAAAGCCAUAAACAAGUCCAAAUGUAGUGUCUCUCUGAAAGGAUAGUACACCAAGUACAACUAACGUCAGAGUAGACCCUGAAGAAUGAGCUUGAUGACAUGGCAAUAGAAAACACGGAGGAAAACAGUACCAGUGAUAGGUGGAAGAAAAACUGACCAGUCUAAUGAAGGAAGGAAGGAAGGAAGGAAAGAGAAAGAAAGAAAGAAAGAAAGAAAGAAAGAAAGAAAGAAAGAAAGAAAGAAAGAAAGAAAGAAAGAAAGAAAGAGAAAGAAAAGAAAGGAAGGAAGAAAGGAAGAAAGAACUGAAAAACAUUCCAAAUUAUAUACUCUCAGAUCCAAGAUAUUCAAAAGACUCCAAAGAAUAGAAACACAAAGAAAAUAAUAACAUGGUACAUCAUAGUCAAACUGCUGAAAGACAGUAAUAAAGACUAAAAUUUUAAAGCAGCUAAUGAGGAAAAAUACAUAUUAUAUACAAUGGAAUAAGAAUUAGAAUGAUGGUCAAUCUCAUUUUUCCAACUAUGAAUUCCAGAAGGCAUUGAACUGACACAUUUAAAUUAUUGGAAGAAAAGAAAAGCCAAUUUAGAAUGCUUUUACAAGUGAAAGUACCUUUCAAUAAUAUAGUAAAAAUAAAGUUUCUUAUAUGACAAAAUGGCCCAAGACAACUUAUUACCAGCAAAUUCGUACAAUCAGACAGAUUAGCGGAUAUUUAUUAGGCUAAAAGGAAAUGUGCUAGAUGGAAAAUAAGAUCAGUACAAGGAAUGAAUAGGACCAGAAGUACAGUUACUGCCCUUGACCAGAGCUAGGAAGCCCCUUGUAGGUCCUAAGAGGAUGGGGCUCUUAUUAGGUCAUUGCUGUGAGGCUAUUUUGCUGAGCAAGACUUCAUGGAACCUGUUUAAAAUAAAUGUCUCAUAUCUCUACACAGGUUUUCAAUUUGCAUCUUUUCCAG
rnacentral:lncRNA from 1 species